GACAGAGGAUGCAAGCGUUAUCCGGAAUGAUUGGGCGUAAAGCGUCUGUAGGUGGCUUUUCAAGUCCGCCGUCAAAUCCCAGGGCUCAACCCUGGACAGGCGGUGGAAACUACCAAGCUGGAGUACGGUAGGGGCAGAGGGAAUUUCCGGUGGAGCGGUGAAAUGCGUAGAGAUCCGGAGGAACACCGAAGGCGAAGGCAGUGUCCUGGGGAGUACCUGACGCUCAGGUGCGAAAGCCAGGGGAGCGAACGGG
rnacentral:rRNA from 1 species